AUGUCAUUUGGUUUAACCUUUUUUCUAUCUAAUACAAUGGCAUUCAUUCAUUUUUCAGUAACUGCUCUUCACAACCCCUCAAAUCAGGAAAAAGCCAUACAACCUUCAAAUCAUGUCCUGCUAUUCAGACAUAGAAAGGCAAACCCGAGUCACACACAUACACUAAUUGUCAGAGGACCUUUAUAUUUCAUGACGCUUUCAACAGGCAGAAUGUCGGGUUUAUGCUUUUUUUUCUCCUCUGUUGGGAUGAUGAUGAUGAAGACGAGGAGAGCAUGCUGUCACACAUGGCUCCUGACGACAGAUAAGAUGAGCUGGAGGAAUCCUUCAUGUCCUGCAUGAAAUGAUGACUGACUCACGGACAACGGAAGGCAUCAUGAAUAGUGACACCGCCGAGGGGAACAAACAGCUCUUGCAGAGAGGCUGCGGUGAGGCUUUUUGCGGGCAGCCCGUCCCUUAGAGACAUCAAAGACCAGCGUUUUGUGUGAGCACGUACUGUAGCUCUAUAAUUAUCAGAAAUGGGCUGAAAAAUCACUGAUCAUACUGCGGUGUCCGGUGGGAGAAAAGCCUGUUUUAGAGGUUUAUGAUCACUGCAGGCUUCAAAGCUUUCCCAGAGUGACUGUCCUGCUUUUUUCUUUCAGCAGGGACAAUGCACAGCAGCUGUGGAGAUGAGUGAAGACUGGCGUUUUAGGAGACAGCAUGUCUUACGCGCUAUCCCUCUCAAGUGUGCAAGAAUGAGUGAUGCUUGAAGUGUGUGUCUGGUCCUCACACACACAUACGAGUAUGCACAAACACAAACACACAAGCUUCUUAUGAACAGCUGGACUGUGACUGGAUCGCUGUGGUUUCACAUGGCUUGUGAGAAUGAGUGGCAUUAAUGCUGUGUUUGUCUUCUGCUGAUUUGCAGAGGAUACUGUGGCAUGUUUUUACAGCACUGUGUUGUUUGUGUUGGCACAUGCAUUAAAGUACUGAAUGUUAAUACUGUUAUUUCCCGUGGAAAAAAUAAAAAAGAUGCUAGUUGUUAAAAUGUUGUUAAGAAUUUUCAGCACAAUAUAAACAAACAAUUAUAAAUCACUGAGGUAUAUAUGAAAACAAAUUAAAAUGAAUGUAAAACUUUAUUAUUAUUUAAUUAUUAUUAUGAUUAUUAUUAUUCUGUCCUGUCCUUCUCAACAGUUAGUUUCUGUCCUCGAAUGUGAUGAGAGUCCUGAUACAGACAAGGGUUUUAUAAAAAGGUUUGUAUCAGUUUUCUGACAGAAAUUCUCCACAUUAUUUUCAGUUAAUAUGAUUACAUGCAAACAUCUCAAUUCCUCAAUUACAAAAUAAAUCAGUAGAUACACUAAAGGUUUGCAAUCAAAUAUUCGAUUUGUUUACA
rnacentral:lncRNA from 1 species